AGCGAACGCUGGCGGCAGGCCUAACACAUGCAAGUCGAACGAACCUUUCGGGGUUAGUGGCGGACGGGUGAGUAACACGUGGGAACGUGCCUUUAGGUUCGGAAUAACUCAGGGAAACUUGUGCUAAUACCGAAUGUGCCCUUCGGGGGAAAGAUUAAUCGCCUUUAGAGCGGCCCGCGUCUGAUUAGCUAGUUGGUUGAGGUAAUGGCUCACCAAGGCGACGAUCAGUAGCUGGUCUGAGAGGAUGAUCAGCCACAUUGGGACUGAGACACGGCCCAAACUCCUACGGGAGGCAGCAGUGGGGAAUCUUGCGCAAUGGGCGAAAGCCUGACGCAGCCAUGCCGCGUGAAUGAUGAAGGUCUUGGGAUUGUAAAAUUCUUUCACCGGGGACGAUAAUGACGGUACCCGGAGAAGAAGCCCCGGCUAACUUCGUG
rnacentral:rRNA from 1 species